rnacentral:tRNA from 1 species
GAGGAGAUAGCUUAAAUGGUAGAGUGCAUGCUAAGCAAGGUCGUGGGUUCAAUUCCCACUACCUUCU